ACAAUGGAGAGUUUGAUCCUGGCUCAGGAUGAACGCUAGCUACAGGCUUAACACAUGCAAGUCGAGGGGCAGCAUUAUCGAAGCUUGCUUUGAUAGAUGGCGACCGGCGCACGGGUGAGUAACGCGUAUCCAACCUUCCCCAUAGUCAGGAAUAGCCCGGCGAAAGUCGAAUUAAUGCCUGAUGUUUUCCACGGACGGCAUCAGAUGUGGAACAAAGAUUCAUCGCUAUGGGAUGGGGAUGCGUCUGAUUAGCUUGUUGGCGGGGUAACGGCCCACCAAGGCAACGAUCAGUAGGGGUUCUGAGAGGAAGGUCCCCCACAUUGGAACUGAGACACGGUCCAAACUCCUACGGGAGGCAGCAGUGAGGAAUAUUGGUCAAUGGGCGGAAGCCUGAACCAGCCAAGUAGCGUGAGGGACGACUGCCCUAUGGGUUGUAAACCUCUUUUAUAAGGGAAUAAAAUACGGGACGUGUCCUGUUUUGCAUGUACCUUAUGAAUAAGGACCGGCUAAUUCCGUGCCAGCAGCCGCGGUAAUACGGAAGGUCCAGGCGUUAUCCGGAUUUAUUGGGUUUAAAGGGAGCGCAGGCGGUCUUAUAAGCGUGACGUGAAAUGCAGCGGCUCAACCGUAUGAUGUGCGUCGCGAACUGUAGGACUUGAGUGUAUUCGAUGUCAGCGGAAUUUGUGGUGUAGCGGUGAAAUGCUUAGAUAUCACGAAGAACUCCGAUUGCGAAGGCAGCUGACAAGGCUACAACUGACGCUAAAGCUCGAAAGUGCGGGUAUCGAACAGGAUUAGAUACCCUGGUAGUCCGCACGGUAAACGAUGGAUGCCCGGUGUUUGCGAUAUACAGUGAGCGCCCAAGCGAAAGCGUUAAGCAUCCCACCUGGGGAGUACGCCGGCAACGGUGAAACUCAAAGGAAUUGACGGGGGCCCGCACA
rnacentral:ncRNA from 1 species